UGCCCGCGUCACACUGUCCCGAUUUUUAUAUACGAUGGACACCCGAAUGCGAAAAUUGUAAGUUCGUACGAAGUUGGUCCCGAUCUCGUUAAAAUACCAAAAAAGUGACCGAAGAAAGUACGAUGAAUAACGAAGUCUAUACGAUGGUGCCGAAAUUAUAUACGAUAGCAAAAGAUGGACAUACGAAGGUUAACCGAAGAC
rnacentral:lncRNA from 1 species